rfam:Trichophyton benhamiae CBS 112371 Abenha-G-c-322p01.r1, whole genome shotgun sequence.
CCGCCCCCUCCGAUUUGACACAACAUCCUGCAGCGGUGUUGUGUGACCUGCAGUGUCAAUCGGAGGCCCGG